UACAGAGGGGGCAAGCGUUGUUCGGAAUUACUGGGCGUAAAGGGCGCGUAGGCGGCCUGCUAAGUCGAACGUGAAAUCCCCGGGCUCAACCCGGGAACUGCGUCCGAUACUGGCAGGCUUGAAUCCGGGAGAGGGAUGCGGAAUUCCAGGUGUAGCGGUGAAAUGCGUAGAUAUCUGGAGGAACACCGGUGGCGAAGGCGGCUCACUGGACUGGUAUUGACGCUGAGGUGCGAAAGCGUGGGGAGCAAACAGG
rnacentral:rRNA from 1 species